rnacentral:rRNA from 1 species
UACGUAGGGUGCAAGCGUUGUCCGGAAUUAUUGGGCGUAAAGAGCUCGUAGGCGGUUCGUCGCGUCGGCUGUGAAAACCUGAGGCUCAACCUCAGGCCUGCAGUCGAUACGGGCGGACUUGAGUACUGCAGGGGAGACUGGAAGUUCCUGGUGUAGCGGUGGAAUGCGCAGAUAUCAGGAGGAACACCGGUGGCGAAGGCGGGUCUCUGGGCCAUUACUGACGCUGAGGAGCGAAAGCGUGGGGAGCGAACAGG